UCGGCAAGGGGGUCAUCCCGACUUACCAACCCGAUGCAAACUGCGAAUACCGGAGAAUGUUAUCACGGGAGACACACGGCGGGUGCUAACGUCCGUCGUGAAGAGGGAAACAACCCAGACCGCCAGCUAAGGUCCCAAAGUCAUGGUUAAGUGGGAAACGAUGUGGGAAGGCCCAGACAGCCAGGAUGUUGGCUUAGAAGCAGCCAUCAUUUAAAGAAAGCGUAAUAGCUCACUGGUCGAGUCGGCCUGCGCGGAAGAUGUAACGGGGCUAAACCAUGCACCGAAGCUGCGGCAGCGACACUAUGUGUUGUUGGGUAGGGGAGCGUUCUGUAAGCCUGCGAAGGUGUACUGUGAGGUAUGCUGGAGGUAUCAGAAGUGCGAAUGCUGACAUAAGUAACGAUAAAGCGGGUGAAAAGCCCGCUCGCCGGAAGACCAAGGGUUCCUGUCCAACGUUAAUCGGGGCAGGGUGAGUCGACCCCUAAGGCGAGGCCGAAAGGCGUAGUCGAUGGGAAACAGGUUAAUAUUCCUGUACUUGGUGUUACUGCGAAGGGGGGACGGAGAAGGCUAUGUUGGCCGGGCGACGGUUGUCCCGGUUUAAGCGUGUAGGCUGGUUUUCCAGGCAAAUCCGGAAAAUCAAGGCUGAGGCGUGAUGACGAGGCACUACGGUGCUGAAGCAACAAAUGCCCUGCUUCCAGGAAAAGCCUCUAAGCAUCAGGUAACAUCAAAUCGUACCCCAAACCGACACAGGUGGUCAGGUAGAGAAUACCAAGGCGCUUGAGAGAACUCGGGUGAAGGAACUAGGCAAAAUGGUGCCGUAACUUCGGGAGAAGGCACGCUGAUACGUAGGUGAAGUCCCUUGCGGAUGGAGCUGAAAUCAGUCGAAGAUACCAGCUGGCUGCAACUGUUUAUUAAAAACACAGCACUGUGCAAACACGAAAGUGGACGUAUACGGUGUGACGCCUGCCCGGUGCCGGAAGGUUAAUUGAUGGGGUUAGCGGUAACGCGAAGCUCUUGAUCGAAGCCCCGGUAAACGGCGGCCGUAACUAUAACGGUCCUAAGGUAGCGAAAUUCCUUGUCGGGUAAGUUCCGACCUGCACGAAUGGCGUAAUGAUGGCCAGGCUGUCUCCACCCGAGACUCAGUGAAAUUGAACUCGCUGUGAAGA
rnacentral:rRNA from 1 species